rnacentral:rRNA from 1 species
CUGGCUGCUGCUCGUGCGGAUCCUACCUCUGAGCCUCGUAUGUAUCAAGCUGCUCUGAGUAUACCUCAUUGGCGAGAGGCCAUGGAGCAGGAGUAUCAUGCUCUUCUUCAUAAUCAGACAUGGACCCUUGUUCCGCCACCACCUCGUGUUAAUGUUAUUGAUUCUAAAUGGGUGUUCAAAGUAAAGAAGCAUUCUGAUGGUUCUAUAGAGCGCUACAAGGCGCGACUGGUUGCUAGAGGUUUUCGGCAGCGUUAUGGUCUUGAUUAUGAAGACACCUUCAGUCCAGUGGUUAAACCUACUACUAUCAGGCUUCUUCUCUCUCUUGCAGUUACUCGGGGUUGGUCUCUUCGUCAGCUUGAUGUGCAGAAUGCUUUUCUCCAUGGUGUUCUGGAAGAGGAGGUAUAUAUGCGACAGCCCCCCGGGUUCUCUGAUCCUGAUCGUCCUGAUUAUCUGUGUCGGCUCACUAAAGCACUCUAUGGUCUGAAGCAAGCUCCUCGUGCUUGGCAUGCUCGUCUUGCGACAUCCCUUCGUGCUCAUGGUUUUGUAUCAUCAGCUGCUGACUCUUUGUUAUUUCUUCUACAAAGGCCCGAAGUUACCAUGUAUCUGCUGGUCUAUGUGGAUGAUAUUAUCCUCGUCAGUUCCUCUCAGUCGGCCGCUGCUGCUCUUGUUCGGUCUCUUGGUGCUGAUUUUGCGGUCAAAGAUCUUGGGCAGCUUCACUACUUCCUCGGUGUGGAAGUUUCUUCUGUUCCCAAUGGUCUUGUUAUGACACAAAAGAAGUACUCUUUGGAUUUGUUGCAGCGGGCCGGGAUGCUUAAGUGCAAACCGACUACUACACCAAUGUCUGCUACUGACAGGAUUACUGCUGCUGAUGGUGACCUCCUGUCUUCUGCUGAUGCGACACAGUACAGGAGUAUUGUUGGUGGGCUGCAGUAUUUGACGAUCACACGUCCAGAUAUAUCCUUUGCUGUCAACAGAGUAUGUCAGUAUCUU